CUAUGUACAGGAGGUCCAGCCUGCCCAGUGACUACAAGUUCAACGCCCGCGGUAUUUUGACCGUGCAAAGGCAGCGCAAUCACUUGUCUUUUAAAUAGAGACCUGUAUGAAUGGCUAAACGAGGGCUUAACUGUCUCCCCUUUCCAGUCAGUGAAACUGAUCUGCCCGUGCAGAAGCGGGCAUAAAAAUACAAGACGAGAAGACCCUUUGGAGCUUAAGGUACAAAACUCAACCACGUCAAGCGACUCAAUAAAAAGCAAAAACUUUGUGGAAUAUGAGAUUUUACCUUCGGUUGGGGCGACCACGGAGGAAAACAAAGCCUCCAAGUGGAUUGGGGCAAACCUCCUAAAACCAAGAGAGACAUCUCUAAGCCACAGAACAUCUGACCAAACAUGAUCCGGCUGCCCGAAGCCGAUCAACGAACCAAGUUACCCUAGGGAUAACAGCGCAAUCCUCUCCCAGAGUCCAUAUCGACGAGAGGGUUUACGACCUCGAUGUUGGAUCAGGACAUCCUAAUGGUGCAGCCGCUAUUAAGGGUUCGUUU
rnacentral:rRNA from 1 species